GGGGGUGGGGAGGCCAGGGAUGAGAAGAAGAAGGCUGGCACCCCACUAGGGAAGAGUUUGAUGGGGGAUUCUCAUCUGGGCACCACACAGUUUAUAGGAACCCAGGGCGGACUUGCCUGGAUCCCGAAUGGGCUGUGGGGACUCUGGGGACAGGUCAAGAGCACACAACUGUCCUGGAGAAGGACACAGAGGCUGGAUAAUAGGAGCUAACAUUCAUCUUUCCAAGUAAGAGGACCAAGUGUGCUCCCAAUGGUAGGAAUUCCACAGACAGCAGCAGUGUGCAGCCCACGGCGUGAAUUCAGGUGUCCAAUAUCACCUUCAGAAGCAUCUGGAAGGGUCCUGGCUUAAGCGGGUGAGUCCAUGGCAGCUGAAGCUGUCCUGAAGACAUAUUCAUGAGUCCAACUGGCAACCCUCUUCUCUGCGAUGGCUCCAUGAUGUUCGUCUCAGUUUCUUCAGAGGUAAAA
ensembl:lncRNA novel transcript